rnacentral:rRNA from 1 species
GAUGAACGCUGGCGGCGUGCCUAAUACAUGCAAGUCGAGCGAACAGACGAGGAGCUUGCUCCUCUGACGUUAGCGGCGGACGGGUGAGUAACACGUGGAUAACCUACCUAUAAGACUGGGAUAACUUCGGGAAACCGGAGCUAAUACCGGAUAAUAUAUUGAACCGCAUGGUUCAAUAGUGAAAGACGGUUUUGCUGUCACUUAUAGAUGGAUCCGCGCCGCAUUAGCUAGUUGGUAAGGUAACGGCUUACCAAGGCGACGAUGCGUAGCCGACCUGAGAGGGUGAUCGGCCACACUGGAACUGAGACACGGUCCAGACUCCGACGGGAGGCAGCAGUAGGGAAUCUUCCGCAAUGGGCGAAAGCCUGACGGAGCAACGCCGCGUGAGUGAUGAAGGUCUUCGGAUCGUAAAACUCUGUUAUUAGGGAAGAACAAAUGUGUAAGUAACUAUGCUCGUCUUGACGGUACCUAAUCAGAAAGCCACGGCUAACUACGUG